rnacentral:rRNA from 1 species
UACGAAGGGGGCUAGCGUUGCUCGGAAUCACUGGGCGUAAAGCGCACGUAGGCGGCUUUUUAAGUCAGGGGUGAAAUCCCAGAGCUCAACUCUGGAACUGCCUUUGAUACUGGGUGUCUUGAGUAUGGAAGAGGUGAGUGGAAUUCCGAGUGUAGAGGUGAAAUUCGUAGAUAUUCGGAGGAACACCAGUGGCGAAGGCGGCUCACUGGUCCAUUACUGACGCUGAGGUGCGAAAGCGUGGGGAGCAAACAGG